AUUGAACGCUGGCGGCAGGCCUAACACAUGCAAGUCGAGCGGAUGCGUGGAGCUUGCUCCAUGAUUCAGCGGCGGACGGGUGAGUAAUGCCUAGGAAUCUGCCUGGUAGUGGGGGACAACGUUUCGAAAGGAACGCUAAUACCGCAUACGUCCUACGGGAGAAAGCAGGGGACCUUCGGGCCUUGCGCUAUCAGAUGAGCCUAGGUCGGAUUAGCUAGUAGGUGAGGUAAAGGCUCACCUAGGCGACGAUCCGUAACUGGUCUGAGAGGAUGAUCAGUCACACUGGAACUGAGACACUGUCCAGACUCCUGCGGGAGGCAGCAGUGGGGAAUAUUGGACAAUGGGCGAAAGCCUGAUCCAGCCAUGCCGCGUGUGUGAAGAAGGUCUUCGGAUUGUAAAGCGCUUUAAGUUGGGAGGAAGGGCAGUAAGUUAAUACCUUGCUGUUUUGACGUUACCAACAGAAUAAGCACCGGCUAACUUCGUGCCAGCCGCCGCCGUAACAC
rnacentral:rRNA from 1 species